UCAGGCGGGGGUGGUGGGAUGGGGGUGGUGGGGUGUUCUGGUCUGGGGUCGGGAGCGGGCAGGGGCUCACUCACCUAGUUCCAGGUCAGUCUGCGGCGGCGGAAUGUAAGAAUGGGGUGCUAGCGGAUUGGUGGGGCAGGUGGCUCCUCCCUCUCUGGGCGUGUCUGGCCCAAGCCGGCAGGCUCAGGCGGGGGUGGUGGGAUGGGGGUGGUGGGGUGUUCUGGUCUGGGGUCGGGAGCGGGCAGGGGCUCACUCACCUAGUUCCAGGUCAGUCUGCGGCGGCGGAAUGUAAGAAUGGAGUGCUAGCAGAUUGGAGGGGCAGGGGGCUCCUCCCUCUCUGGGCGUGUCUGGCCCAAGCCGGCAGGCUCAGGAGGGGGUGGUGGGAUGGGGGUGGUGGGGUGUUCUGGUCUGGGGUCGGGAGCGGGCAGGGGCUCACUCACCUAGUUCCAGGUCAGUCUGCGGCGGCGGAAUGUAAGAAUGGGGUGCUAGCGGAUUGGUGGGGCAGGUGGCUCCUCCCUCUCUGGGCGUGUCUGGCCCAAGCCGGCAG
rnacentral:lncRNA from 1 species